rnacentral:rRNA from 1 species
UACGGAGGGGGCUAGCGUUGUUCGGAAUUACUGGGCGUAAAGCGUACGUAGGCGGCUUUGUAAGUUAGAGGUGAAAGCCCGGAGCUCAACUUCGGAACUGCCUUUGAUACAGCACGUCUUGAGUCCGAUAGAGGUGGGUGGAAUUCCUAGUGUAGAGGUGAAAUUCGUAGAUAUUAGGAAGAACACCGGUGGCGAAGGCGGCCCACUGGAUCGGUACUGACGCUGAGGUGCGAAAGCGUGGGGAGCAAACAGG